AAAUUGAAGAGUUUGAUCAUGGCUCAGAUUGAACGCUGGCGGCAGGCCUAACACAUGCAAGUCGAACGGUAACAGGAAGAAGCUUGCUUCUUUGCUGACGAGUGGCGGACGGGUGAGUAAUGUCUGGGAAACUGCCUGAUGGAGGGGGAUAACUACUGGAAACGGUAGCUAAUACCGCAUAACGUCGCAAGACCAAAGAGGGGGACCUUCGAGCCUCUUGCCAUCGGAUGUGCCCAGAUGGGAUUAGCUAGUAGGUGGGGUAACGGCUCACC
rnacentral:rRNA from 1 species